AGUAAAUAGCUAAUAUAAGUUUGUUAGUUACAUUAAUAAGAUACCAAGAGAGGUUUUACUUUU
rnacentral:tRNA from 1 species